AAGUCUGAUGUGAAAGCCUUCGGCUCAACCGAAGAAGUGCAUCGGAAACUGGGAGACUUGAGUGCAGAAGAGGACAGUGGAACUCCAUGUGUAGCGGUGAAAUGCGUAGAUAUAUGGAAGAACACCAGUGGCGAAGGCGGCUGUCUGGUCUGUAACUGACGCUGAGGCUCGAAAGCAUGGGUAGCAAACAGGAUUAGAUACCCUGGUAGUCCAUACCGUAAACGAUGAUUGCUAAGUGUUGGAGGGUUUCCGCCCUUCAGUGCUGCAGCUAACGCAUUAAGCAUUCCGCCUGGGGAGUACGACCGCAAGGCUGAAACUCAAAGGAAUUGACGGGGGCCCGCACAAGCGGUGGAGCAUGUGGUUUAAUUCGAAGCUACGCGAAGAACCUUACCAGGUCUUGACAUACUAUGCCAAUCUAAGAGAUUAGAGGUUCCCUUCGGGGACAGAGAUACAGGUGGUGCAUGGUUGUCGUCAGCUCGUGUCGUGAGAUGUUGGGUUAAGUCCCGCAACGAGCGCAACCCUUAUUAUCAGUUGCCAGCAUUAAGUUGGGCACUCUGGUGAGACUGCCGGUGACAAACCGGAGGAAGGUGGGGAUGACGUCAAAUCAUCAUGCCCCUUAUGACCUGGGCUACACACGUGCUACAAUGGAUGGUACAACGAGUUGCGAACUCGCGAGAGUAAGCUAAUCUCUUAAAACCAUUCUCAGUUCGGAUUGUAGGCUGCAACUCGCCUACAUGAAGUCGGAAUCGCUAGUAAUCGCGGAUCAGCAUGCCGCGGUGAAUACGUUCCCGGGCCUUGUACACACCGCCCGUCACACCAUGAGA
rnacentral:rRNA from 1 species